rnacentral:rRNA from 1 species
UACGAGAGGCCCAAACGUUAUUCGGAAUUACUGGGCUUAAAGAGUUCGUAGGCGGCAUGAAAAGCAGGGUGUGAAAGCCCUCGGCUCAACCGAGGAAUUGCGCUCUGAACUGUCGUGCUUGAGGAACCUAGAGGUGAGCAGAACAGAUGGUGGAGCGGUGAAAUGCGUUGAUAUCAGCUGGAAUACCGGAGGCGAAGGCGGCUCACUGGGGGUUUUCUGACGCUGAGGAACGAAAGCCAGGGUAGCGAACGGG